UACCAGCACCCCGAGUGGUCGGGACGAUUAUUGGGCCUAAAGCAUCCGUAGCCGGCCUUACAAGUCCUCCGUUAAAUCCACCUGCUUAACGGAUGGGCCGCGGGGGAUACUGCAGAGCUAGGAGGCGGGAGAGGCAAACGGUACUCAGUGGGUAGGGGUAAAAUCCAUUGAUCUACUGAAGACCACCAGUGGCGAAGGCGGUUUGCCAGAACGCGCUCGACGGUGAGGGAUGAAAGCUGGGGGGGCAAACCGG
rnacentral:rRNA from 1 species